rnacentral:rRNA from 1 species
GGUGACUUGGAGGUUGUGCCCUUGAGGCGUGGCUUCCGGAGCUAACGCGUUAAGUCGACCGCCUGGGGAGUACGGCCGCAAGGUUAAAACUCAAAUGAAUUGACGGGGGCCCGCACAAGCGGUGGAGCAUGUGGUUUAAUUCGAUGCAACGCGAAGAACCUUACCUACUCUUGACAUCCAGAGAACUUUCCAGAGAUGGUUUGGUGCCUUCGGGAACUCUGAGACAGGUGCUGCAUGGCUGUCGUCAGCUCGUGUUGUGAAAUGUUGGGUUAAGUCCCGCAACGAGCGCAACCCUUAUCCUUUGUUGCCAGCGGUUCGGCCGGGAACUCAAAGGAGACUGCCAGUGAUAAACUGGAGGAAGGUGGGGAUGACGUCAAGUCAUCAUGGCCCUUACGAGUAGGGCUACACACGUGCUACAAUGGCGCAUACAAAGAGAAGCGACCUCGCGAGAGCAAGCGGACCUCAUAAAGUGCGUCGUAGUCCGGAUUGGAGUCUGCAACUCGACUCCAUGAAGUCGGAAUCGCUAGUAAUCGUAGAUCAGAAUGCUACGGUGAAUACGUUCCCGGGCCUUGUACACACCGCCCGUCACACCAUGGGAGUGGGUUGCAAAAGAAGUAGGUAGCUUAACCUUCGGGAGGGCGCUUACCACUUUGUGAUUCAUGACUGGGGUGAAGUCGUAAAGG